rnacentral:misc_RNA from 1 species
AACCAUUCUCACCUGCGGCUAGACCUGCGGAAGGAUCAUUACAAGUGACCCCGGUCUAACCACCGGGAUGUUCAUAACCCUUUGUUGUCCGACUCUGUUGCCUCCGGGGCGACCCUGCCUUCGGGCGGGGGCUCCGGGUGGACACUUCAAACUCUUGCGUAACUUUGCAGUCUGAGUAAACUUAAUUAAUAAAUUAAAACUUUUAGCAAUGGAUCU